rnacentral:rRNA from 1 species
UACGGGGGGGGGCAAGCGUUUGUUCGGAAUUACUGGGCGUAAAGGGUUCGUAGGUGGCCAAUUAAGUCAGACGUGAAAUCCCUCAGCUUAACUGGGGAACUGCGUCUGAGACUGGAUGGCUUGAGUGCAGGAGAGGAACGCGGAAUUCCAGGUGUAGCGGUGAAAUGCGUAGAUAUCUGGAGGAACACCGGUGGCGAAGGCGGCGUUCUGGACUGCAACUGACACUGAGGAACGAAAGCCAGGGGAGCAAACGGG